rnacentral:ncRNA from 2 species
CAUAUGGUGUCUCUUGCUGGUCCGGAGACCGCGCAAUCGGUCUCCGGGGCAAGAGGGAACCCGGUGCGAAUCCGGGACUGCCCCGCAGCGGUAAGCGGAAACGACCGCCGUCAUCAAGCACUGCUCGCACCACGCGGGUGGGAAGCGACGGCCAGUAGGAACCGCCCCGACGACCCGAGCUCGCCAGAGCUCACCCCACGGUCGCCGAGGCGAAGGUCCGCGAGUCCGAAGACCUGCCAGCGACCGCACACGCCG